GUGCUCGCUUCAGCAGCACAUAUACUAAAACUGGAACGAUACAGAAAAGAUUAGCAUGGCCCCUGCACUAGGAUGACACACAAAUUCAUGAAGCGUUCCAUAUUUUU
ensembl:snRNA U6 U6 spliceosomal RNA